GAAAUAAACGUUAGCUAGCAUUGGCAGUAUUGAUUUGAAAUAUCUUUUGAUUAUUUUACAUUGAUCAUUACACUAUGGCAGAUGAUGGCGAAUUGGAGAAACGUGCGGUGGAGGAGCUACUGAAGGAGACCAGUAGGGCUCGGGUGCGAGCAGAAACUAUGGUCCAGCAGGCUGGAUGAAAUGUCCACUGCGCAGCACCAACAAGCGUUUCCUGCUCAACACACUGCGCACCACCAUCCCACAGCGCCGCCCUACUGGCCACUCAGGAGAACAGACAC